rnacentral:rRNA from 1 species
AAGUCGUAACAAGGUUUCCGUAGGUGAACCUGCGGAAGGAUCAUUGUCGAACCCUGCAAAGCAGAACGACCCGUGAACACGUAAAAACAACCGAGUGUCGGUUGGAUCAAGCGCUUGUUUGAUGCAAUCGACGCUUUGUCGAUGCGCAUUCACUCGAGUCCGUCUGGACCCUUGUGAAUGUGUCAUUGGCGCAUUAACAACCCCCGGCACAAUGUGUGCCAAGGAAAACUAAACUCUAGAAGGCUCGUCUUCAUGUUGCCCCCGUUCGCGGUGUGCUCAUGGGAUGUGGCUUCUUUAUAAUCACAAACGACUCUCGGCAACGGAUAUCUCGGCUCACGCAUCGAUGAAGAACGUAGCAAAAUGCGAUACUUGGUGUGAAUUGCAGAAUCCCGUGAACCAUCGAGUUUUUGAACGCAAGUUGCGCCCGAAGCCUUUUGGCCGAGGGCACGUCUGCCUGGGCGUCACGCAUCGCGUCGCCCCCCACAAUUCUCUGUAAAGGGAACUCGUGUUUUGGGGGCGGAUAAUGGUCUCCCGUGCUCAUGGCGUGGUUGGCCGAAAUAGGAGUCCCUUCGAUGGACGCACGAACUAGUGGUGGUCGUAAAAACCCUCGUCUUUUGUUUCGUGCCGUUAGUCGCAAGGGAAACUCUAAGAAAACCCCAACGUGUCGUCUCUUGACGACGCUUCGACCGCGACCCCAGGUCAGGCGGGACUACCCGCUGAGUUUAA